GAAGUGUGGCCGAGCGGUUGAAGGCACCGGUCUUGAAAACCGGCGACCCGAAAGGGUUCCAGAGUUCGAAUCUCUGCGCUUCCGCCAG
rnacentral:tRNA from 1 species